AUGCUGUUCCAGGUGGGAGGGCAGGGCGCACGGCCCACCUUCUUCGAGAUGUCCGCGGCGCAGCAGCUCCCGGCCAGCCUCCGCGCGGCGCUCUCCUACUCGUUCGGGGUUUUUGCACUAAGGAGGCCAUCCUUGCAUAAAGUUUUAGAUUAUGAAGAUGAAUUCUUUGCUUUGUUAAUGUCUGUUCUUGAGUCCCAUAGUCUACGAACAACAGAUGGUUCCUUUUCAGAGUCGUUAUAUGGUCUCAGGCGGAGACCUGUUAACGUUUCAGUGAACAGAAGUAAUCCUGGUGCAGAAUCUAAUGUCAAAGUCUAUGACUCUGCACUAAGGAAGCGCCAGAAAACCCUUUCUGUUGUUUUUUUGGUUGUUUUACCGUAUUUCAAGUCAAAGUUGCAGUCUGUAUAUAACAAAGAAAGAGAAGCAAGAUUGCAGGCAAGCCUAUGGGAUCAGGGUGAGGUUAGAUUCGACGAAGCUGGCUUUGUAUCAGAUCAACAAGGGGAGACUUCUCAAGCACAAGUUGAGACUACAGCUGGAGAGGUGUCACAUCUCACGCGCCUUAGGACCAAUUUUGCGGCACUAAUAGGUGUUUGUUAUCCAUGGAUUCAUGCGACUCAUGAAGGCCUUUCAUUUGCUUACCAGUUGCUGUAUUUGUUGGAUGCUACUGCAUUUUACAGUCCAGGACUUCAUGUGCUUGGGCUUCAUGUUUGUCGUGCUACCGGACAAGAGCUGAUGGAUUCAUCUUCUAGGAUAUCAAGAAUUAGAAGUCGUGAACUCGAGAGACUUCGUGGUCCUCCAUGGUUAAAGACUGUCCAGAGGGUGCUCCUUAAUUGUACGUACACGACUCUAGAUUAUGCACAAACUGGUUUAAUUGCUGCGGUCUUCUUUUUCAAGAUGAUGGAGUGGUGGUAUCAAUCUGCUGAAGAAAGAAUGUCAGCUCCGACUGUAUACCCCCCACCUCCUCCGCCGCCGCUACCAAAGGUUGCUAAAGAUGGACUUCCCUUGCCAACUGACAGGACGCUGUGCCCUCUGUGCUGCCAAAAGCGCAACAACCCGUCUGUUCUUUCUGUUUCUGGUUUUGUAUUUUGCUACAGUUGCAUAUUCAAGUCUGUCUCUCAGCAUAAAAGAUGUCCCGUGACGUUGAUGCCUGCCACUGUUGAGCAAAUCAGGCGCCUCUUCCAUGAUUUAUAG
rnacentral:rRNA from 1 species